rnacentral:ncRNA from 1 species
UUAAAUUCUUUGAAGGGAAUAGUAAAUAUUAUGUUAGUAUAUUAAGCGAGUAGAGGAUGGUGGAAGCUCUAUGAGAAAGUUGAUAUUGAAGACAUCCUGGAGAAGCUUAUCUGAAAUUUUAAGUAGGAUAAGUCGGAUCCCUCCGUUAAAAGGUUAAAGAUGACUUAGUUUAUUAAAUUUUGUCAAAGUAGAAUGGCACCGUGAAGUAUAGUCUUCACUUCUAUA